rnacentral:rRNA from 1 species
CAAUAGCGUAUAUUUAAGUUGUUGCAGUUAAAAAGCUCGUAGUUGGAUUUCGGAUGGGACUUGCCGGUCCGUCGUUUCGAUGUGCACUGGCCAGUCCUAUCUUGUUGUCGGGGACUAGCUCCUGGGCUUCACUGUCCGGGACUAGGAGCUGACGAGGUUACUUUGAGUAAAUUAGAGUGUUCAAAGCAAGCCUACGCUCUGAAUACAUUAGCAUGGAAUAACACGAUAGGACUCUGGCUUAUCUUGUUGGUCUGUGGGACCAGAGUAAUGAUUAAGAGGGACAGUCGGGGGCAUUCGUAUUUCAUUGUCAGAGGUGAAAUUCUUGGAUUUAUGAAAGACGAACUUCUGCGAAAGCAUUUGUCAAGGAUGUUUUCAUUAA